rnacentral:rRNA from 1 species
GACGAACGCUGGCGGCGUGCUUAACACAUGCAAGUCGAACGGAAAGGCCCUGCUUUUGUGUGGUGCUCGAGUGGCGAACGGGUGAGUAACACGUGAGUAACCUGCCCUUGACUUUGGGAUAACUUCAGGAAACUGGGGCUAAUACCGGAUAGGAGCUCCUGCUGCAUGGUGGUGGUUGGAAAGUUUCGGCGGUUGGGGAUGGACUCGCGGGUUAUCAGCUUGUUGGUGGGGUAGUGGCUUACCAAGGCUUUGACGGGUAGCCGGCCUGAGAGGGUGACCGGGCACCAUGGGACUGAGAUACGGCGCAGACUCCUACGGGACGCAGCAGUGGGGAAUAUUGCAGAAUGGGCGGAAGCCUGAUGCAGCAACGCCGCGUGCGGGAUGACGGCCUUCGGGUUGUAAACCGCUUUCGCAUGUGACGAAGAGUGAGUGACGGUAAUGGGUAAAGAAGCACCGGCUAACUACGUG